UAAAAUUUUAUUUUUUAGUCAAAAAGCUAAAAUUGAUUUAAAAGACUAGAAGAACCUAUGAAUCUUAAUUAUUUAAUAAAUUUUAAUUUAUAUUGAAUAAUCUGAUUAUUAUUGUUUAAAUAAUUUUAUUGGGGCGAUAUUAAAAUUUAAAUAACUUUUAGUUAUUUUGAUUAAUAUACUUAUGAUUAAUUGAUCCAUUUUUAGUGAUUAAAAAAUUAAGUUGCUUUAGGGAUAACAGCGUAAUUUUUUUUUGGAGAGUUCUUAUCGAUAAAAAAGUUUGCGACCUCGAUGUUGGAUUAAGAUUCACAUUUAAAUGCCGAAGUUUAAAUAUUAAGUCUGUUCGACUUACAUGAUCUUACAUGAUCUGAGUUCAAACCGGUGUUGCCAGGUUGCUUUCUAUCUUUGAUUUUUUAAAAUAUUUUAGUACAAAAGGAAUAAAUAUUUAUUUUUUAAAAA
rnacentral:rRNA from 1 species